UACAGGGGGUGCAAACGUUGCUCGGAAUCAUUGGGCGUAAAGCGCACGUAGGCGGUCUGUUAUGUCGGAUGUGAAAGCCCUCGGCUCAACUGAGGAAGUGCAUCCGAAACUGGCAGGCUAGAGUACUAAAGAGGGUCGCGGAAUUCCCGGUGUAGAGGUGAAAUUCGUAGAUAUCGGGAGGAACACCGGUGGCGAAGGCGGCCACCUGGACCAGCACUGACACUGAGGCACGAAAGCGUGGGGAGCAAACAGG
rnacentral:rRNA from 1 species